GAUGAACGCUAGCUACAGGCUUAACACAUGCAAGUCGAGGGGAACCGACAUCGAAAGCUUGCUUUUGAUGGGCGUCGACCGGCGCACGGGUGAGUAACGCGUAAUCAACCUGCCCAUCACUUGCGGAUAACCUUGCGUAACUAAGAAUAAUACCCAAUGAUAUCUUUGAUAGGCAUCCGAAAGAGAUUAUAGAUUUAUCGGUGAUGGAUGGGGAUGCGUCUGAUUAGCUUGUUGGCGGGGUAACGGCCCACCAAGGCAACGAUCAGUAGAGGUUCUGAGAGGUAGGUCCCUCGUAUGGGAACUGGGACACGGACCAUGCGCCUACGGGAGGGAGCAGUGACGAAUAGUGGGCAGUGGGGGAGAACCUGAGACAGCCAAGUAGAGUGUAAGAAGGCGGCGCUGUGGGUUGUAAACUGCUUUUAGAAGGGUAAAGAGUGAUAGCCGUGGCUCUUAUUGACAGUACCGGAUGAAUAAGCACCGGCUAACUCCGUG
rnacentral:rRNA from 1 species